rnacentral:rRNA from 1 species
AUUGAACGCUGGCGGCAGGCUUAACACAUGCAAGUCGAACGGAUCCUUCGGGAUUAGUGGCGGACGGGUGAGUAACACGUGGGAACGUGCCCUUUGGUUCGGAACAACUCAGGGAAACUUGAGCUAAUACCGGAUGUGCCCUUCGGGGGAAAGAUUUAUCGCCAUUGGAGCGGCCCGCGUCUGAUUAGCUAGUUGGUGAGGUAAAGGCUCACCAAGGCGACGAUCAGUAGCUGGUCUGAGAGGAUGAUCAGCCACAUUGGGACUGAGACACGGCCCAAACUCCUACGGGAGGCAGCAGUGGGGAAUCUUGCGCAAUGGGCGAAAGCCUGACGCAGCCAUGCCGCGUGAAUGAUGAAGGUCUUAGGAUUGUAAAAUUCUUUCACCGGGGACGAUAAUGACGGUACCCGGAGAAGAAGCCCCGGCUAACUUCGUGCCAGCCGCCGCCGUAAUAC